UUUGAAAGCGUUAGCCUAGUUUAUUUUUCAUGUUAUACCUGAACUAUGACCAGGGAAAGGACCAUGUGCUGUUUCUGUGUACCCCAACCUCGCUGAAUAUAAUACAAAACAGCUGGCUAAAUGGAGAAGAUUCUAACAUCUUAGAAGAGGACAGAGCUGUAAGAAGGAAUAAGCCUGGAUCCCUAAAUGACUGCAUGGAACAGAACUUUGCAGCAGCCCUGUAUGGGAAUGUAACCGGAACGAGAAAUAAACUUUGCUGUGUUAAACCACUGGAAUUUGGGACUUGUUAAGCUGUUAGCCUAAUACAACCAUCAAAAGUAUUACAGAGACAGAAUGUGUACUGAUGUACCUAUAAGCUAAGAAAAAGUCAGAUAGGCAGGGAGCAUGGAAAUUACAUGUUUCAUGAUUCCCAGGUGUAAGGGUUUUAUAUUGUUCAUUAAUCAUAUGGCAAAUAUGUUUAAAUAAACAUAGACAGGCAAUUCCUGUU